AAGUCGUAACAAGGUAACCGUAGGUGAACCUGCGGUUGGAUCAUUACCAAUCCUGGGCUCGCAAGAGUCCUUCAACCCCAUGUGCACUUAAUAUUGUUUCUGGGUGUUUCGGCACCCAAACUUAUAAACCUUACUAUCUGUCUGAUAUUAUUUAUAUAAUAAAAACAACUUUUGACAACGGAUCUCUUGGCUCUC
rnacentral:misc_RNA from 1 species